rnacentral:rRNA from 1 species
UACGGGGGGGGCAAGCGUUGUUCGGAAUUACUGGGCGUAAAGGGCUCGUAGGCGGCCAACUAAGUCAGACGUGAAAUCCCUCGGCUUAACCGGGGAACUGCGUCUGAUACUGGAUGGCUUGAGGUUGGGAGAGGGAUGCGGAAUUCCAGGUGUAGCGAUGAAAUGCGUAGAUAUCUGGAGGAACACCGGUGGCGAAGGCGGCAUCCUGGACCAAUUCUGACGCUGAGGAGCGAAAGCCAGGGGAGCAAACGGG